rnacentral:tRNA from 1 species
UUAAUAGGAGUCAUCCGGACGCUUCAUUGUUAAUGAAGAACUUACAAUUUAUUGUCUAUUAAU